rnacentral:rRNA from 1 species
AACGUAGGACACAAGCGUUAUCCGGAGUUACUGGGCGUAAAGGGCGUGUAGGCGGAUCAAUAAGUCUAUUCUGAAAGCUCCUGGCUAAACUGGGAGAGGCGAAUGGAGACUGUUGGUCUAGAGUGAGGAAGAGGAAAGUGGAAUUCCGCGUGUAGUGGUGAAAUGCGUAGAGAUGCGGAGGAACACCAGUGGCGAAAGCGGCUUCUGGUCCUUAACUGACGCUGAGG